UACAGGGGGGUGCAAACGUUGCUCGGAAUUAUUGGGCGUAAAGCGCGCGUAGGCGGCUACUUAAGUCGGAUGUGAAAGCCCUUGGCUCAACUGAGGAAGUGCACCCGAAACUGAGUGGCUUGAGUACGAAAGAGGGUCGCGGAAUUCCCGGUGUAGAGGUGAAAUUCGUAGAUAUCGGGAGGAACACCGGUGGCGAAGGCGGCGACCUGGUCCUUGACUGACGCUGAGGCGCGAAAGCGUGGGGGAGCAAACAGG
rnacentral:rRNA from 1 species